rnacentral:rRNA from 1 species
UACAGAGGGUGCAAGCGUUAAUCGGAAUUACUGGGCGUAAAGCGUGCGUAGACGGUUAUGUAAGUCAGAUGUGAAAGCCCCGGGCUUAACCUGGGAAUGGCAUUUGAGACUGCAUAGCUAGGGUGCGGAAGAGGGAAGCGGAAUUUCCGGUGUAGCGGUGUAAAUGCGUAGAUAUCGGAAGGAACACCAGUGGCGAAAGCGGCUUCCUGGUCCAGCACCGACGUUCAGGCACGAAAGCGUGGGGAGCAAACAGG